UAGAACGCUGGCGGCGUGCCUAACACAUGCAAGUCGAACGGAGUAAUUUCUUCGGAGGUUACUUAGUGGCGGACGGGUGAGUAACGCGUGGGUAAUCUGCCUUACACAGGGGGACAACAGUUUGGAAACGACUGCUAAUACCGCAUAAGCCGGUAGCGCCGCAUGGCGCAUCCGGAAAAGAUUCAUCGGUGUAAGAUGAGCCCGCGUCUGAUUAGUUAGUUGGCGGGGUAACGGCCCACCAAGACGACGAUCAGUAGCCGACCUGAGAGGGUGAUCGGCCACAUUGGGACUGAGACACGGCCCAAACUCCUACGGGAGGCAGCAGUGGGGAAUAUUGCGCAAUGGGGGGAACCCUGACGCCGGGCAACGCCGCGUGAGUGAAGAAGUAUUUCGGUAUGUAAAGCUCUAUCAGCAGGGAAGAAAACGACGGUACCUGCAGAAGAAGUCCCGGCUAACUACGUGCCAGCAGCGGC
rnacentral:rRNA from 1 species